rnacentral:misc_RNA from 1 species
AUUGAAAGAGUUGCCAUUUAUGAAUUUUCAACAUUCAUAGAGAAUGGCAUGUAUAUUCGAUAAGCUAUGAUAGUGGACAAAUGAGAAGUACUAUCGUACCUUAUUUAGCUAAUCUAUGAUUCAAUAUCUCGUUGUAAUUUGCUUAAACGAGAUGAGCGAGAGAGAAUAUAUACAUCAAAACGCUCUUAAAAGACGAUUCCAGCGUAUAUUGUGUGAAUGGCAUAGUUGGAAAGAAAGAUGAGCGUGACAAUAAUGAUGUAU